rnacentral:rRNA from 1 species
GACGAAUGCUGGCGGCGUGCCUAAUACAUGCAAGUAGAACGCACAGUUUAUACCGUAGCUUGCUACACCAUAGACUGUGAGUUGCGAACGGGUGAGUAACGCGUAGGUAACCUGCCUGGUAGCGGGGGAUAACUAUUGGAAACGAUAGCUAAUACCGCAUAAUAUUGAUUAUUGCAUGAUAAUUGAUUGAAAGAUGCUAUUGCAUCACUACCAGAUGGACCUGCGUUGUAUUAGCUAGUAGGUGAGGUAACGGCUCACCUAGGCGACGAUACAUAGCCGACCUGAGAGGGUGAUCGGCCACACUGGGACUGAGACACGGCCCAGACUCCUACGGGAGGCAGCAGUAGGGAAUCUUCGGCAAUGGACGAAAGUCUGACCGAGCAACGCCGCGUGAGUGAAGAAGGUUUUCGGAUCGUAAAGCUCUGUUGUAAGAGAAGAACGGGUGUGAGAGUGGAAAGUUCACACUGUGACGGUAUCUUACCAGAAAGGGACGGCUAACUACGUG